UGAGUUCCAUCCCUGGGUUGAGAAGAUCCCCUGGAGAAGGGAAAUGGCAACCCACUGCAGCAUUCUUGCCUGGAGAAUCCCAUGGACAGAGGGGCCUGGCGGGCCAUGGUCCAUGGGGGCACAACUGAGCAGCUAACACUUUCACUUUUACCAAAGGCACAUUGUCACACUUUACGGUUUGCAGGCUGCUUUUUUACUAAGUUAUCUAAGUUAAAGCCGUGUGCCCUAACUGGACUUAACAGCAUCCUCUGUUGUAUUUCACUAUGAGAGGGAAUGGUGUGCACUCUAUGGCUUCCUCCCCUUCCGAAGGUGCGCUCCUUAACAAAAUGGCCCCCAGCAGGAUCUGGCCAUGAUUGCAUGCGAUUUCUUCUCCUUGAAGGUUUUCUAUUUAAAUCUGGCCACAGGAGGGAGUUCCAAGACCUGGAUCCCAGAUCUCUAGCCUGGCCCUUUUCUCUGACCGCUGACCAGGAGGUUGGGCUGAAGCAACUCUUAAGAGUGCGUUUGUUGGGUAACUCCUAGAAAGUGGUUAAGUUUCACGAUGAGAACUAGGGUAGGAGGGCCAGCCUGCUGAGUCCGUUGCUCCCUGUGAUUCUCAGUCCCCCGAACAAAGGGAAGGUUGGUUAUUGGUUGGUUUUUCCAUUUUUAUCAGCUCAGACUUAGAAGAAGCUUGAGAAGGGUAGUGUGAUUGUAAACGGUUAAGUUGGUGUCACUGCCAAGCGUGGAAGUCACCCUCACACCCAACGAGAGGAGACGGCAAGUGACUUACCCUGUCAGUUUCCUCCCUGAACAGGAGAGUAAAAACAGUGCAUAACUCGUGGAGCUGCUGUGAGCAUGCACUGCGAUGCAGCAAGGCAAACCCUUUGUGCAAUGGCUGCUACAUUAGAAACAAAAAAACCAGUAGCGGAGGGCUGUUAGAGCACAGGGAAUGUUAGCACCAAGUCCCUGAAAACUCGUCCUCAAGUUGGCUAGUUAUAACGACAACAGCAGUAGGGAUGUUUAUCAUUCUGUGUGAUAGGUGUUUUGUUACAACCUGGCUCUGAUCUUCUGGGACUCAGCUCUGCCAUGUCCCAAAUGAGUUGACUUCAGCAGUGCGAGACAAGGGAAGUACAGGAUCAGCGUCAUCAGUUUUGAUUCACCAUUUCCGUGAAAACUGAUGUUGAGAAGGUGACUAUGAUGAUGCAGUAAGCAAUAAAGCAACUGUGGAUAUCAGGAUUUUUAAAGUUAGCCAUUCCCCAAGCCGGCCAGGCCCCUUCAAGCUCCUGAUGGGACUUGAGCAAUUAUGACGCCUGCCCUGCAGACCGGGGUCGUUAGACUGUGAGCCCGUCAACAUCAGGCACCUUCUUGUCUCAUUCACUGCUCUAUCAUCAGUGAACAAUACCUGGGCACAGUAAAUACCAAAUAAAUAGCGCCUGCAUGCGUAAGUUGACAGCUAAGUAUUUUAAAGCCAUGUCCAUUGGAGAGAGGGUUGCCUUAUGCUCUGGCUUGACUUUAACUCCAAGUGUUGGAUCACUCUCAUCAGUCUCCCCUCCUCAGGUGCCCAGCUGAGUGGUCCUCAAAGUGUGGUUCCAUAACAAUCAGCCGCAGCUGAGAACCAAUUAGAAAUGCAAAUUGUCCAGCCCCCUCCAGACCCAGGGUGGAGCCUCCCACCCUGUGCUCUCACAAGCCCUCCAGGUGGUUCUGAUGCAGGGAAAAUUAAAAACCACUGGUCAAGGUUGAGCUCUAACUUCACUGAGUGUCAACCAAAAAAAGACCAGUUCUGAACAUGCAAAGAUAAUCACAGCUAACCUUGGAAUUUACUAUACAGGUCAGGUAUUGUGCUUCACAAGAAGUCCCUUGUUUACUGCCCAUUUUACAGGUGAGGAAAACAAGGUUUAGAGAGGAGAAGCAACUUAGCCUGCGGACACACAGGUCAGAGCCAAGGUUGCAACCCAACCAAGCUCUUCUUAAAGGCGUAUUUUUGCGUCUGUGAGAGAUACAGACAGACACAAAGAUACCUGGAAUAUCAGUAACGCAGGGCACGGUGGUGCUCAGAGGAAGACUCUGCCUCAGGACUAACGGGGACGGAGCUUGGCCGUUUCAGGAGGUGACGGCUGAACUCACUAACUGGAAUAUCAGUAACGCAGGGCACGGUGGUGCUCAGAGGAAGACUCUGCCUCAGGACUAACGGGGACGGAGCUUGGCCGUUUCAGGAGGUGACGGCUGAACUCACUAACUGGAAUAUCAGUAACGCAGGGCACGGUGGUGCUCAGAGGAAGACUCUGCCUCAGGACUAACGGGGACGGAGCUUGGCCGUUUCAGGACGUGACGGCUGAACUCACUAACUGGAAUAUCAGUAACGCAGGGCACGGUGGUGCUCAGAGGAAGACUCUGCCUCAGGACUAACGGGGACGGAGCUUGGCCGAUUCAGGAGGUGACGGCUGAACUCACUCAUAAAGAAUGGCCAAAGGGGCUCCCAACAGAACGGAAGUGCACAAGGCCAGCGUUUACAGAGGGAGUGGCAAGGCCUCCCACUGGCUGACCUGAGCGAGAAGCCACUUGGUUCUGUGGAUCCUGGGAAAGGUAGUUUGAAGGCAAGCCUGGAAGGAGGACGUAAGAGCGAACAGGCAAAUGCCCAGCGCAACCUGAGGUCCUGCUUUGAGAGAGAGAAAAAAAACCACCACCACCAGGGCGCGGCUUUGGCUAGGGCCCCACCCUCUCCCUGGAUCUACAUACGUGAACAUGUAUGUUGCGGUCCCUGUGACAGCCCGGCCCCCUUCGUCACCUUCAGGAGUCGACGUUAAGGAUGCAGGCUCUGGGUCCAAAGGCCGGGUUGGAAUGCAAAGGCACUUCCCUCCCCGCCUCGCUUCCCGCGCGUAGAGCGGGGCUGGCGGUGGAGGCCCCUCGCGGGUUGCGCGGGCUUUAAGGAGACACCCUCCCUGCAGAUGCGCCUGGCGCGUCGUAAGGGCCUGAUAAAGGUUCACACUUAGCAGCACACUGUGAGUUUGAACUGGCGUUUGGGUAUUUGGACACCCAUUAAAAUUCCUGCUCGAACUUGUUUCUUCUUCCCUUUACCACUCCAGCCCCCAGCUUUAAGUCUAGAAUCCGAGACUCUGCCUCCAGUCUCGACUGCGCCGCCAUUAAACGACAAAAACAAAACACCGAAAAACGUUUCCAC
ensembl:lncRNA